rnacentral:rRNA from 1 species
UACGUAGGGUGCGAGCGUUUAAUCGGAAUUACUGGGCGUAAAGCGUGCGCAGGCGGUUUUGUAAGCCAGAUGUGAAAUCUCCGGGCUUAACUCGGAAAGGUCAAGUGAUACUGUCGGGCUAGAGUACAGAAGGGGCAACUGGAAUUCUCGGUGUAGCGGUGAAAUGCGUAGAUAUCGAGAGAACACCUGCGGCGAAGGCGGGUUGCUGGGCUGAUACUGACGCUGAUGCGCGAAAGCCAGGGGAGCGAACGGG